AACACCACUCUAGCUAUAAGGGGCAUUGAUAUCUCUCCCUACUGUGUCCAUUAUCCCAACACCCCCGAGGACACCAACUUUUAUUCUUCCAAUGUCACCUGAGUGGUCUUCUCUGGGCUUUAUCCAAAAAUCUAGAGAAAAUACCCUCAACCACUCUCAUUUCUCCUCUGGAAACUGGGACACUACUUGGAAAUGGUUACAAGAUAAAAAUUU
rnacentral:lncRNA from 1 species